AGAGUUUGAUCCUGGCUCAGAACGAACGGUGGCGGCGUGCUUAUUCCAUGCAAGUCGAGCGAGAAGCUCCUUCGGGAGUGGAGAGCGGCGAAAGGGUGAGUAACGCAUAAAUGACCUACCCUCAAGAGGGGGACAACAGUCCGAAAGGGCUGCUAAUACCGCAUAAGGUUACUUUGUCGCAUGAUGGAGUAAUUAAAGUGGGGGAUCUUCGGACCUCACGCUUGAGGAGGGGUUUAUGUCCUAUUAGCUAGUUGGUGGGGUAAAAGCCUACCAAGGCAAUGAUGGGUAGCCGGCCUGAGAGGGUGAACGGUCACACGGGCACUGAGACACGGGCCCGACUCCUACGGGAGGCAGCAGGAAGGAAUAUUGGGCAAUGGGCGAAAGCCUGACCCACGACGCCGCGUGGAGGAUUAAGGCCUUCGGGUUGUAAACUCCUAACAUGUGUUAUAAGGUGCUAGCGUUAAUACCGCUAGUUACUUGAAAAAGGCACAAAAUGAAUCAUGGCUAACUCCGUGCCACACCGCGGUAAUACGAAUGGCAACCGUUGUUCGAAUCACUGGGCUUAAAAGCACGUAGCGGAAAAAUAAUCAUUGUGAAAUCCCAUGGCUUACCCAUGGAACUGCAUUCAAACUGUUUUUUCUUGAUUCAAAAGGGGAAAAGUGGAACUCCUAUUGGAACGGUGAAAAUGCUUUUAUUUUAGGAGGAACCCCGGUGGC
rnacentral:rRNA from 1 species